GACGAACGCUGGCGGCGUGCUUAACACAUGCAAGUCGAACGGAAAGGCCCUGCUUUUGUGGGGUGCUCGAGUGGCGAACGGGUGAGUAACACGUGAGUAACCUGCCCUUGACUUUGGGAUAACUUCAGGAAACUGGGGCUAAUACCGGAUAGGAUCUCCUGCUGCAUGGUGGGGGUUGGAAAGUUUCGGCGGUUGGGGAUGGACUCGCGGCUUAUCAGCUUCUUGGUGGAGUAGUGGCUUACCAAGGCUUUGACGGGUAGCCGGCCUGGGAGGGUGACCGGCCACAUUGGGACUGAGAUACGGCCCAGACUCCUACGGGAGGCAGCAGUGGGGAGUAUUGCACAAUGGGCGGACGCCUGAUGCAGCGACGCCGCGUGCGUGAUGACGGCCUUCGGGUUGUAAACCGCUUUCGCCUGUGACGAAGCGUGAGUGACGGUAAUGGGUAAAGAAGCACCGGCUAACUACGUG
rnacentral:rRNA from 1 species